CAUUGAGAUAGUAUUGUUCCAUAUUGCACUUCCCUUCCCUUCCUCAUUCUCAUCGUUAUUGAAUGAAGUUUCGCGCAUUGCCAUUAGGUAAUGGUUUCUCCUCAAUAUCAACAUUCUCGAACCGCACCAGAAUUUCGUUUUUGUACCGAAGUUCUUCAUCAACGGCUACAGUGUUUCUCAGUAGAAAUUCUCGCUUUUUCAAGCUUCUUUGCCGAAAACGAAAUUAUGAGUUCGUGGAAGGGGUGAAGCUCGACGGUCCGUUGAUCCAAAUCGAUGACAUUGUGAACAAUGAGGAUAUUGAUUUGGUUUUUGAGAAUUGCAUUACACGAACAUUGUCUCCGGCAUUGACAUUGGAGGAGGGACUUGAAAGAAUUAAGGAGGCUCUGCAAACGUUUAGGUUAGAUCGUCCUUGUUGCUCUAGUGGAUUCGUCAGGUUUCAGGUGGCAGUGCCUCCAAGUCCUAAGGCUUUAAGUUGGUUUUGUUGUCAGCCAGAGUCAUCUGGAGUUUUUCCUCAAAUAUAUCUUUCCAAGAAUUCGGACAAUCCAACGUGUAAAUCGCUGCAUGUGAAUGGUCGCCGUGGAGUUUUUGGAGUUGGCGCUGCCGCUUCUUUUACUCGUCAUUCUUCUCACAACAUGGGAAAGCAAAGCUUAUUCAAAAGAUAUGUAUCAAGUGAUUCAACCCUGGUAGUGGCUUAUGGCUUUAAGGAUGUUAAUUUCAAUCAAGAUUUAGAUUCCAUGAAUCAUGAGGAUGGUUCUUUUUUCUUCUUUGUCCCUCAGAUUGAGUUGGAUGAGCAGGAGACGGCUUCCAUUUUGACAUUAACACUUGCAUGGGACGAUUCUUCCCUCUCUACAUUCAAAGAAGCUCUUGACUCCCUUGAUAUUUCUCUUAACCAGUUGUCUUGUCAUAUCUGUCCCACUACUGAUACAUGGCAGUCCAACUGUACAUCAUCUACACUCAGAAAAUUCAGUUUGGUGGAAAAUGGAUCUAUUCCAAGGGUAUACAUGAACUCUAUUGCACCAGGAAAAAGAGGUAGCAUGGCUGACAUCAUGGAACUGAAAGAGUCUCCAUCUUCCACUCAAUUCUGUCUCAGGCUCUCACCUGCUGUUGCUUUAGCGAAUGACAUGCUAGGUCAAGCAAAUAAAUCGUUUCACUCACUGGAAGAAAGUGCCAAUAUCAAUGCUAUCUGGGCAUCACUUAUUAUUGAAGAAUGCUCACGACUUGGUUUAACGUAUUUUUGUAUAGCGCCUGGAUCAAGGUCUUCCCCACUUGCUGUUGCUGCAUCUAGUCAUACAUUAAUCACAUGUAUUUCAUGUUUUGAUGAGCGCUCGCUAGCAUUUCACGCUGUUGGAUAUGCAAGAGGAUCUCACAUUCCAGCAGUAAUAAUAACAUCAUCAGGGACUGCAGUUUCAAAUCUUCUUCCUGCUGUUGUGGAGGCUAGUCAAGAUUUUGUACCACUUAUUUUACUUACAGCUGAUCGACCUCCAGAGCUGCAGGAAUGUGGAGCAAACCAAGCAAUUUAUCAGGUUAACCAUUUCGGUUCUUUUGUGAGAUAUUUCUUCAAUCUUCCUGCACCCACAGAUCAGAUUCCAGCAAAGAUGGUACUUACUACGCUGGAUUCUGCUGUUCACCGGGCCACUUCUACACCAUGUGGUCCAGUCCAUAUUAACUGCCCUUUCAGAGAACCUUUGGAAAAUAGUCCCAGCAAAUGGAAAUCAAGCUGUUUAAAAGGCUUAGACUAUUGGAUCACUAAUGCCCAACCAUAUACAAAGUACAUUCAUAUGCAACAGUCCUGUAGAUUUAAUAAUCCAACUGGCCAAUUGACUGAUGUUUUAACUUUGAUCCUGAGGGCCAAACAUGGCCUUCUGGUCAUUGGUUCAAUCCAUACGGAGGAUGAGAUAUGGGCUGCUCUUCAUUUGGUUAAACACCUCAUGUGGCCUGUCGUAACAGAUAUCCUUUCUGGACUGCGGUUAAGGAAGCAUUUGACUUCUUUUCCUGAUAUUGAAGGAAAUUUUUUAUUUGUCGAUUAUCUUGAUCAUGCUCUGCUCUCCAAGUCUGUCAGAGGAUGGUUAGAGAUUGAUGUGGUGAUUCAGAUUGGAAGUAGAAUAACUAGCAAAAGAAUCUGUCAGAUGCUUGAUGAAAGUGUCCCCUUUUCAUAUAUUAUGGUUGACAAGAAUCCAAAUCGUCAGGAUCCUUCACAUAUUGUGACUCAUCGUAUUCAAAGUUCCAUUGUUGGCUUUGUAGAUUUUUUAAUAAAGGCUAGAGUUCCUCAUUCAAGGAGCAAGUGGGCCACUUCCUUACAAGUGUUGAGUAAGAUGGUUGAAUGGGAAAUGCAAUUUCAAAUAUGUAUUGAGUGUUCCCUGACAGAACCUCAUGUUGCUCAUGUAAUAUCUGAAGCUCUUUCCUCUGAAUCUGCUCUCUUUCUUGGGAACAGCAUGCCAAUUCGUGAUGCAGAUAUGUAUGGGCACAAUAGGUCAAUAUGCAGUAAAAGUGUUACGUCUCUCAUGUUAGAUUCAGACUUGCCAUUUAGCUGGAUUAGGGUGGCUGGCAAUAGAGGGGCUAGUGGUAUUGAUGGGCUACUUAGCACAGCCAUUGGCUUUGCUGUAGGAUGCAACAAAAAGGUGUUUUGCGUGAUUGGAGAUGUUUCUUUUCUCCAUGACACGAAUGGUCUGGCAAUUUUGAAUCAGAGUAAAUUGAGGAAACCGAUGACAAUACUUGUGUUAAACAAUCAUGGGGGUGGAAUUUUCAGUUUUCUUCCUCUGGCAAAUAAAACUGAACCCAGUAUAUUGCAUCAGUAUUUUUACACCUCUCAUAACAUUUCAAUUGGAAAGUUAUGCUUGGCUCAUGGCAUAAAACACUUGUAUGCCCAGACAAAGAUGGAACUUGAGGAUGCUUUAUUUGCAGCAAAAAAUGAAGAUAUGGACUGUUUAGUUGAAAUUGAGAGUUCCAUUGAUGGCAAUGCCAAUUUUCACAGUAUUCUAAGAAAGUUUGCCCUUCAGACAGCAGAGAACACUAUAAGAUUUCUCUCAGCUUCUUUUAGUCAAAACUCUAUGAAAGAUGAGUUCUUUUGCCUCAAGGCAUAUAAAAUAGAGUAUUCGCAAUAUAGAAUUGCUCUAUGUGCUCCACCAACAUCAACAUCUCUUGGUUUUGAUCAUAAAGAAUUCCAUAGAGAUGGCUUUAUUUUAUCUCUAUUUCUUGAAGAUGGAAGUGUGGGUUUUGGUGAGGUCGCUCCUCUUGAGAUCCACAGGGAAAAUCUGAAAGAAGCAGAAGAUCAACUUAGGUUUCUUAUACAUGCCAUGAAGGGGGUUAAAAUUAGUUGCUUCUUGUCUCUAUUGAAGGGCUCAUUUUCAUGUUGGAUAUGGAAUGAGUUGGGCAUCCUGCCUUCUUCUAUCUUUCCAAGUGUCAGAUGUGGUUUGGAAAUGGCCAUCCUGAAUGCUAUAGCUGAUAGAAGAGGGUCCAGUUUAUUCGACAUACUGCAUUGCCAGACAAAUGAAAAGGACAAAUAUCAGAGUUCAAUGGAAGUUCAGGUUUGUGCUUUACUCGAUGCAAAUGGAUCUCCAGCUGAAGUAGCUAAUGUAGCUGCUGCGCUUGUUAAGGAAGGAUUCUGUGCAAUUAAACUAAAGGUGGCUCAAUGGGGUGAUCCAAUGCACUCUGCUUCAAUAAUACAAGAAGUGAGAAAGAAAGUUGGUUUCCAUAUUGACAUCCGUGCAGAUGCAAAUCGAAGAUGGACUUAUGAAGAAGCCAUGGAAUUCAGCUCUUUUGUUAAGGAUUGUGGGCUGCAGUAUAUUGAGGAGCCUGUUGAAGAUGAAGAUGACAUACUCAGGUUCUGUGAAGAAAGUGGCUUACCUGUUGCCCUUGAUGAAACAAUAGAUCACAUUCAUGAAAAUCAUCUGGAAAAGCUAAUGAAGUUUUCUCACCCCAAAAUAGUGGCUGUUGUUAUCAAGCCAAGCAUGGUUGGUGGAUUUGAGAAUGCUGCAUUAAUUGCCCAAUGGGCCCAGCGGCUGGGAAAGAUGGCUGUUGUCAGUGCUGCAUUUGAAAGCAGUCUAAGUUUGUCUGCAUAUGUGCAGUUUUCUUGUUAUCUUGAUAUGCAAGAUGCAGGUAGAUUCACUGUGUCAAAUAAUAAGGUGGUCCCAUCUGUAGCUCAUGGUCUGGGAACCUAUCGUUGGCUUAAGGAAGACAUAACAUCCAAUCCUGUUUUAAUAGGCCGUAAUCCACACAGUAAUUUUAUUGAAGCAUCAGUGGCUGAUGCUAGAGAACUGUUAGAGAAUUUUCAAGUCAACCAAAGUGUGAUCAAUAAAGUUAUGACCGAGAAGCAAGUUCAUAGGCACCAGCUGACUGUAGAGCUUGACAAUGUCUCUUGUCUCUUUAAAGUUCAAGAGAUUGGACAAAAGAAUGAUGAUAAUGUAAUAGUAUUUCUUCAUGGUUUCCUGGGGACUGGCGAUGACUGGAUUGCUAUCAUGAAGGCUAUAUCAGGAUCAGCAAGAUGCAUCUCGGUUGACCUUCCUGGUCAUGGAAAAUCAAUAAUAAACGCAGUAAAAAUUGCUGGCCAGGAACCGUGUUUAUCUCUGGAGAUGAUUGCUGGUUUAUUACACAAUCUAAUCCAACAUAUGACUCCGGCAAAGGUUACUCUUGCUGGGUAUUCAAUGGGAGCAAGGAUUGCGUUAUACAUGGCAUUGAAAUUUGGUUACAAGGCUAAAGGAGCUGUCCUAAUAUCUGGGAGCCCUGGGUUAAAUGAUAAAUUGGCAAGGAAAAUUCGGGCAGCUAAAGAUGAUUCCAGAGCAUGCUCCAUGGUUGCACAUGGGCUACAACUUUUUCUUGAAUCCUGGUAUGCAGGGGAGCAGUGGAGGAGCUUUAGAAGCCACCCUCAUUUCAAUCGAAUAAUUGCAAGCCGCUUACAGCAACAUGAUGUGCGAAGUCUUGCAAAGAUGCUGUCUGGCUUAAGCAUAGGGAGGCAACCGUCAUUGUGGGAAGAUUUGAAGGAUUGCAGAACGCCUCUUCUAUUCAUGUACGGAGAGAAAGAUGCUAAAUUUAAGCAAAUUGCUGAGACAAUGAUCAACACAGUGAGCUCAGGCUGUGAGAGCGGGCAGGAAAAUUGCAACAAUGUUCAUCAAGUGGUUGAGGUCCCCAACUGUGGGCAUGCUGUCCAUUUGGAGAACCCUCUUCCAGUCAUAUAUGCCUUGAGACACUUCAUGACCAGGAAACGAAACAACGCCUUCAAAAAAAUGAGCUGAUAAUAAAGCACUGCAUCACACCGUGCGGAUUCCAGCUAAAAUGCACCAUCAGACAAAAAUUCACCGACUUACAUUUCAAAUUCCCGUGCGCUCUCUACUCUCCUUCACGUUCUUCUUCAAGCCAAGCGGUGGACAACCAGAGGAAGAGCCGAAGAGGUGUGGCGGAGCUUCUUAGCGCAUGGAUCGGAGAGAUUGAAUGGGGUAAUUUGGGAGUCCAAACAAAGCAACUCAAUUCCUAGCAGAAAAAAAAAACCAAAUAGAAGGAAAGAAGAAGAAGAGAAAUAUAUAUAUAUAUAUAUAUAUAUAUAUUAGAAUCUUACAUCGACAUGGAAUAAAAGAAAUAACCUCUACUUUAACUAUAAAUACUCCUCCAUCAAGAGGGAAAGCAUCGAAUCACUUAUCUGAAUGCCUCAAAAAUUCUCUUUGAGAUAUUUAAAGUUCAUAAAAACAUUCUGAAGGCUAAAAAUGAGAUCAUUAAGGAGUUUAAUUUUCUCUGUGAUCGUUUUUCAUGAUUGAGAAU